rnacentral:rRNA from 1 species
AACGUAGGGGGCGAGCGUUGUCCGGAAUUACUGGGCGUAAAGGGCGCGUAGGCGGUUACUUAAGUCAGAGGUGAAAACUACCGGCUCAACCGGUAGCCUGCCUAUGAAACUGGGUAACUUGAGGGCAGGAGAGGGGAGUGGAAUUCCCAGUGUAGCGGUGAAAUGCGUAGAUAUUGGGAGGAACACCAGUGGCGAAGGCGGCUCUCUGGCCUGUUACUGACGCUGAGGCGCGAAAGCGUGGGUAGCGAACGGGAUUAGAUACCCCGGUAGUCCACGCCGUAAACGAUGGGUGCUAGGUGUAGGAGGUAUCGACCCCUUCUGUGCCGUAGUUAACACAAUAAGCACCCCGCCUGGGGAGUACGGCCGCAAGGUUGAA